AAGGGAAUGAAGGCAGGAGAGGGGCUUAUUCCUGCCCUUGAAGGCAGAACCCAGAAAUGUACACAUCAAUUCUGCUAGUGUUCCAUUGGCCAUUAUUUGGUCAUAAGGCUAACCUAGCUGCAAGGGACACUGGGAGAUGUAGUAUUUGGCUGGGCAGCUAUGGUCCUGGUUAAAUAGGCUGUUUACUAUAAGGAAGUGGAGGGGUUUGUACAACACACUAGCAGUCUUUAAUCGCAAAUGGGACCCUGAUGCUUUCACUGUGUCUCUGCCCCUCAGCCAGUUUCAAGCGCCCGGUAGUGAUCCUGGGACCCGUGGCCGACAUUGCUAUGCAGAAGUUGACUGCUGAGAUGCCUGACCAGUUUGAAAUCGCAGAGACUGUGUCCAGGACCGACAGCCCCUCCAAGAUCAUCAAACUAGACACCGUGCGGGUGAUUGCAGAAAAAGACAAGCAUGCGCUCCUGGACGUGACCCCCUCCGCCAUCGAGCGCCUCAACUAUGUGCAGUACUACCCCAUCGUGGUCUUCUUCAUCCCCGAGAGCCGGCCGGCCCUCAAGGCACUGCGCCAGUGGCUGGCGCCUGCCUCCCGCCGCAGCACCCGUCGCCUCUACGCACAAGCCCAGAAGCUGCGAAAACACAGCAGCCACCUCUUCACAGCCACCAUCCCUCUGAAUGGCACAAGUGACACCUGGUACCAAGAGCUCAAGGCCAUCAUUCGAGAGCAGCAGACGCGGCCCAUCUGGACGGCGGAAGAUCAGCUGGAUGGCUCCUUGGAGGACAACCUAGACCUCCCUCACCGCGGCCUGGCCGACAGCUCUGCUGACCUCAGCUGCGACAGCCGUGUUAACAGCGACUACGA
rnacentral:sRNA from 1 species